UGGGUGGCUGGGUGGGUUGGGCUUAUCCUUAUUCUGGAAGUCUGUUUGGAAUAAUAUUUGUAAUUGUUUUGACUUUAUUUGACCAAGUUGUUCCGUUAAUAUUCUGUUAAUUCAGACCCAAAUAUUGUUGUUGAGUCAUUCUAUAAAAAACACUUUGAAAAUCCCAUCUCAAACAGACCGUUUAAAAAAAUGCUUGCAAUUUCCUUAUUGAGUAUGAUGUCAGCAGUCUAGAGGAGGCUAAACUGGCCAAUCAGUGAUCUACUUGCAUGAAUAUUUUAAUUAUUAUGAUGAAUAUUUUUUUUAACCUUUAAUUAACAAGGGAAGUAAGUUAAGAACACAUUUUUAUUUACAUUGACGGCCUUAUGACCGGUAUAAGCACCAUGCAAACAACAGAAAAGCUGCUUUUUAACAUAGUUAAUAAAAACACAUUGGAAAGAAAACUAUUUCACUCAUAUUUCAUGAAUGGAGUGGACGAUACGGUUUGAUACCGUUUCCUGAUUUACCAGCCCUUAACCAACAGGUGUAGUAGACCUUAACCAACAGGUGUAGUAGACCUUAACCAACAGGUGUAGUAGACCUUAACCAACAGGUGUAGUAGACCUUAACCAACAGGUGUAGUAGCCCUUAACCAACAGGUGUAGUAGACCUUAACCAACAGGUGUAGUAGCCCUUAACCAACAGGUGUAGUAGACCUUAACCAACAGGUGUAGUAGACCUUAACCAACAGGUGUAGUAGACCUUAACCAACAGGUGUAGUAGACCUUAACCAACAGGUGUAGUAGACCUUAACCAACAGGUGUAGUAGACCUUAACCAACAGGUGUAGUAGCCCUUAACCAACAGGUGUAGUAGACCUUAACCAACAGGUGUAGUAGACCUUAACCAACAGGUGUAGUAGACCUUAACCAACAGGUGUAGUAGCCCUUAACCAACAGGUGUAGUAGACCUUAACCAACAGGUGUAGUAGACCUUAACCAACAGGUGUAGUAGACCUUAACCAACAGGUGUAGUAGACCUUAACCAACAGGUGUAGUAGACCUUAACCAACAGGUGUAGUAGACCUUAACCAACAGGUGUAGUAGACCUUAACCAACAGGUGUAGUAGACCUUAACCAACAGGUGUAGUAGACCUUAACCAACAGGUGUAGUAGACCUUAACCAACAGGUGUAGUAGACCUUAACCAACAGGUGUAGUAGACCUUAACCAACAGGUGUAGUAGACCUUAACCAACAGGUGUAGUAGACCUUAACCAACAGGUGUAGUAGACCUUAACCAACAGGUGUAGUAGACCUUAACCAACAGGUGUAGUAGACCUUACUGUGAAAUGCUGAUUUACCUCAACCAGCAGUGCAGGUUAUGGUUAGGUGAAGGGGUUAGUUAAAAGGGUUAAGGUUAUGGUUAGGUGAAGGGGUUAGUUAAAAGGGUUAAGGUUAGGUGAAGGGGUUAGUUUAAAGGGUUAAGGUUAUGGUUAGGUGAAGGGGUUAGUUAAAAGGGUUAUGGUUAGGUGAAGGGGUUAGUUUAAAGUGUUAUGGUUAGGUGAAGGGGUUAGUUUAAAGGGUUAAGGUUAUGGUUAGGUGAAGGGGUUAGUUAAAAGGGUUAUGGUUAGGUGAAGGGGUUAGUUUAAAGUGUUAUGGUUAGGUGAAGGGGUUAGUUUAAAGGGUUAAGGUUAUGGUUAGGUGAAGGGGUUAGUUAAAAGGGUUAAGGUUAUGGUUAGGUGAAGGGGUUAGUUUAAAGUGUUAUGGUUAGGUGAAGGGGUUAGUUAAAAGUGUUAUGGUUAGGUGAAGGGGUUAGUUAAAAGGGUUAAGGUUAUGGUUAGGUGAAGGGGUUAGUUAAAAGGGUUAAGGUUAUGGUUAGGUGAAGGGGUUAGUUAAAAGGGUUAAGGUUAUGGUUAGGUGAAGGGGUUAGUUUAAAGGGUUAAGGUUAUGGUUAGGUGAAGGGGUUAGUUAAAAGGGUUAAGGUUAUGGUUAGGUGAAGGGGUUAGUUAAAAGGGUUAAGGUUAGGGUUAGGUGAAGGGGUUAGUUAAGCUAAGGCGUAUGUAAACUUCUGACUUCAAGAAGAAGAUAUAAGGCUAAAAUAAAAGCAAUAGUAAGCUGUUAGUAGCUCCUCACACUAAUCAUUUUCUCCAAAGCGGUAUUGUAAACACAUAUUGGAUAAUUAUGUGGAUAUAUUGAAAUAACAUCUCAAGACAUCAGUCAGGAAGUUAAAGGCUUACAAGCCGAAGAACACCAUCCUAACUGUGAAGCACGGGGGUGGCAGCAUCAUGUUGUGGGGGUGCUUUGCUGCAGGAGGGACUGGUGCACUUUACAAAAUAGAUGGCAGCAUGUGGGAGGAAAAUGAUGUGGAUAUAUUGAAGUAACAUCUCAAGACAUCAGUCAGGAAGUUAAAGCUUGGUCGCAAAUGGGUCUUCCAACUGGACAAUGACCUCAAGCAUACUACCAAAGUUGUGGCAAAAAUGGCUUAAGGACCACAAAGUCAAGGUAUUGGAGAGGCCAUCACAAAACCCUGUCCUCAAUCCUAUUGAACAUUUGUGGGCAGAACUGAAAAAGUGUGUGCGAGCAAGAUGGCCUACAAACCUGACUCAGUUACACCAGCUCUGUCAGGAGGAAUGGGCCAACAUUCACUUAUUGUGGGAAGCUUGUGGAAGGCUCCUGAAACGCUUGACCCAAGUUAAACAAUUUAAAGACAAUGCUACCAAAUACUAAUUGAGUGUAUGUAAACUUCUGACCCACUGGGAAUGUGAUGAAAGAAAUAAAA